rnacentral:ncRNA from 29 species
CACGGUGAGAAUCCGUGACUGUGCCGCAACGGUGUUUGGCUCGUGCCAAAAGUCCGA